rnacentral:rRNA from 1 species
CCACGGUGGAUGCUUAGUACGGCGAGUGAGCGGCAAAAGCUCAAAUUUGAAAUCUGGUACCUUCGGUGCCCGAGUUGUAAUUUGGAGAGGGCAACUUUGGGGCCGUUCCUUGUCUAUGUUCCUUGGAACAGGACGUCAUAGAGGGUGAGAAUCCCGUGUGGCGAGGAGUGCGGUUCUUUGUAAAGUGCCUUCGAAGAGUCGAGUUGUUUGGGAAUGCAGCUCUAAGUGGGUGGUAAAUUCCAUCUAAAGCUAAAUAUUGGCGAGAGACCGAUAGCGAACAAGUACAGUGAUGGAAAGAUGAAAAGAACUUUGAAAAGAGAGUGAAAAAGUACGUGAAAUUGUUGAAAGGGAAGGGCAUUUGAUCAGACAUGGUGUUUUGUGCCCUCUGCUCCUUGUGGGUAGGGGAAUCUCGCAUUUCACUGGGCCAGCAUCAGUUUUGGUGGCAGGAUAAAUCCAUAGGAAUGUAGCUUGCCUCGGUAAGUAUUAUAGCCUGUGGGAAUACUGCCAGCUGGGACUGAGGACUGCGACGUAAGUCAAGGAUGCUGGCAUAAUGGUUAUAUGCCGCCCGUCUUGAA